rnacentral:rRNA from 1 species
GUGGGGAAUAUUCCGCAAUGGACGAAAGUCUGACGGAGCAACGCCGCGUGAGUGAUGAAGGUUUUCGGACUGUAAAGCUCUGUUGUUUAGGACGAAAGUGCCUGUUGCGAAUAGUUACAGGUAUUGACGGUACUGAACGAGGAAGCCACGGCUAACUACGUGCCAGCAGCCGCGGUACUACGUAGGUGGCAAGCGUUGUCCGGAAUUAUUGGGCGUAAAGAGCAUGUAGGCGGGAAACUAAGUCUGUUGUGAAAAUGCGGGGCUCAACCCCGUAUUGCGAUGGAAACUGGGUUUCUUGAGUGCAGGAGAGGAAAGGGGAAUUCCCAGUGUAGCGGUGAAAUGCGUAGAGAUUUGGAAGAACACCAGUGGCGAAGGCGGCUUUCUGGACGGUGUCUGACACUGAGGCGCGAAAGCCAGGGGAGCGAACGGGAUUAGAUACCCUAGUAGUCC